CGGGGCCGGACGGAAGUUGGUAUUAUUUUUCUCUCUGUUUGAAACGUUAUCGGACUCGGAGUGGUAUUUUUGUGCCCUUUUUCAGAGUGCUGGGUGUCACAAUCAACGCAUUGUCUGGGUGAAUGCGUUCGCCUUUUCCAACGGCUCAGCUGUGAGCAAUCGAUCCUUUUGCGCAGUGUGUGUUAUGGAAGGAUAUUUUGGGCACUGGGUGUAUGUGUGUGAGCAUGUUUUUUUACGAUCCUAGCAAAUUGAUGGCCUUGUUUUUGAUUUACUGUGCCCCGUUGUACGUACCGGGUAGGUUUCCCACUUUGCGACGUGUGCUGCUGAACAACCGUUUUACUGAUUUCGUUCGCGUUCGUUGCGUUUCAUUCGUGUUGGCGGACAAUUUUUCCUUCGUACCUGUCGUGCAUGCCUCCUUUUUGGAAGCGUUUAUUAAUGUUUGUAGAGGUAAGUGGUAGAAGAAUUUCGUAAAUGGAAUGUAUAAAUCGUACUCUGCUGCCCCGUGGCAACGUUAUCAAAGUCAUGGAAAACAGAGAACCACAGCAAAUAAUUACCGCACGAUAAGGAGAAAGAGAGCAAACGUGUCAAACGUUGUUCAGGUCAGAAUGCCAACGCAAGGAAACAUAAGCAGUGGGAAAGCAUUACUUUGGAACAAUGUGUGAGCAGAUUUUGAACGAGUUUUUCGACCUACACAAUCUGAUUGUGUUUUGAUGCAUUAAUAAAAAUGGUUUCCAUUUCCAACAUGUAGCACAUGUUUUGCAGCAGCUCUGGAACAUCAGGCACGAUCAGAUCAGCUUAUACCGGUGCUGCCGAGGGACCUGUGUAAGCUCAAGGAGCAAGAUUUACGAUUAGACCUGCACGAAACGAAUCCGAAAGACGUUUGCCGGUAAAGGAAGGUGGCGUUGCUUGGACGACAGAACAAUGUUUACGAUAUUUUCCACUCACUUGGUACAAGUGUGCUGCGAGAUUGCUUUCGGAUUUGAACCACCCCAAAUCCGAUCCAUCUAUCGUAUUGCCCAGCACCCAAAGGCAAUGCAGGAGACCACGAGCGGCAAACAAACCUGCACCCUGGCAGAAUGGGAGAAAACGAUGACGAGAUCCGAAGGAAUUAAGGACUUUUGGUGCGUUUGUCGCUUGUCGCUCGGUGCACAGGGGCACAGCAGGCCUGGCCGCAGACGCACAGAUGAUCAUAUUUCAACUAGACACCAACUCUCUACGAAUGACUCGCUCGACUGCUCUCGGGCUGGGAUUUGGUUUCUCUCUUCUACUGCAGGUUCAGUGGGACGCAGUAGGACACGACCAACAAUCUUUAUGACCUACAUCUAUCCGGAGGGAUUUUUGCUUUUAUUAUUACAGUUUUGUUUGACGGUCCUGACAUAUGGACGUGAUAAAGCGUUUGCUUGGGAUGCGAGGGCAGAGAGGGAAGGGAAAAAGGACACCAGAAAACGGCAACCGGCGCACAGCGGAGGUGUAUUAUUCUUGGGACGCUCUCGUUAGCAAUGUAUCUAAAUCUCCAAAUGAUGUGUGGAUUAGUCUCUGCGGCACACCAGGAUACUGGGACGGUUUGCUGGAAAUGGGCAGAACAUUUUCCGUGAAAUUGUACGUUCGUGACCGUGGGCAAUGGGAGUCGAAAUGUGAGUAGAUAAGGAUUGGCCAUACGUUUGCUUUCGGGCUUUACAUCGGUUGCCGGAGAGUUGAUAAAUGAGGUAGAGUAACAGGAAAGCUUUUGUUUAUCAUUUGCGCUCAGUUCAUAAAAAUUAAAAAGGGGAUGUGAUGAAGAUUUUGUCCUGCCAAAUAUACGAUAUACUGCAUAAAAAUGGA